rnacentral:lncRNA from 1 species
UUAAAUUUUAAAUUUCAUAAUUAUUUUAAAUUUUAAAUUUUUAAAAUUUUAAAUUAUUUUUAAAAUUAAAAUAUCAAAUUUUAAAUUUUGUAUAAUUUUGAAAUUUAAAAAUUUUAAUUUUAAUUCAAAUUUAAAUUUAGAUUUUAAAUUAUUUUAAAAUAAAAUUUAAUAAAAAUAUUAAUUUAUGCAAGUAUCAAAAAAAAUUUGCCAAACAGCUUUUUAAAAUUACUUCAGAAAAAUCACUUUUAUCUAAACUACACCAAACGCUCUACAGCUUUUAACCAAAAUCACUUUUCCAAAUUAAAAUCACUUUUUUCAGAAAUUACUUUUUCAGAAACUAGGCAAAACAGGCCCGAAUACUGA